rnacentral:rRNA from 1 species
GACGAACGCUGGCGGCGUGCUUAACACAUGCAAGUCGAACGGAAAGGCCCUGCUUUUGUGGGGUGCUCGAGUGGCGAACGGGUGAGUAACACGUGAGUAACCUGCCCUUGACUUUGGGAUAACUUCAGGCAACUGGGGCUAAUACCGGAUAGGAGCUCCUGCUGCAUGGUGGGGGUUGGAAAGUUUCGGCGGUUGGGGAUGGACUCGCGGCUUAUCAGCUUGUUGGUGGGGUAGUGGCUUACCAAGGCUUUGACGGGUAGCCGGCCUGAGAGGGUGACCGGCCACAUUGGGACUGAGAUACCGGCCCAGACUCUACGGGGGGCAGGAGGGGGGAAUAUUGCAAAAUGGGGCGGAGGCCUAAUCCGGAACGGCGGGUGGGGGAUGACGGCCUUCGGGUUGUAAACCGCUUUCGCCUGUGACGAAGCGUGAGUGACGGUAAUGGGUAAAGAAGCACCGGCUAACUACGUG